rnacentral:rRNA from 1 species
CCAAGGAGUCUAACAUGUGCGCGAGUCGUCGAGAUUUCGUACUAAACUCGCGAGGCGCAAUGAAAGUAAAGCGGCCCCGAUGAGGGUGCCUGCGAGGGGAGAUCCCGUCUCGAACAGAGCGGGCGCAUCCCCAGGGCGUUCGAAGCCGCGACUCUGUCGGCCGAACGAACCCGGAGCGCACACGUUGGGACCCGAAAGAUGGUGACCUAUGCCUGACCAGGACGAAGCCAGGGGAAACCCUGGUGGAGGUCCGCAGCGAUUCUGACGUGCAAAUCGAUCGUCGGAGUUGGGUAUAGGGGCGAAAGACUAAUCGAACCAUCUAGUAGCUGGUUCCCCCCGAAGUUUCCCUCAGGAUAGCUGGUGCUCGCAAAGAGAACGAACCGAGUUUCAUCCGGUAAAGCGAAUGAUUAGAGGCCUUGGGGUCGAAACGACCUCAACCUAUUCUCAAACUUUCAAUGGGUGAGAAGCCCGGCCUAUAAACUUGAUUUGAGGCCGCGGCAUUCGAAUCAGAGCGCCCAGUGGGCCAUUUUUGGUAAGCAGAACUGGCGCUGUGGGAUGAACCAAACGCCCGGUUAAGGCGCCUAAACGACGCACAUUUCGGAUCCCACGAAAAGGAGUUGGUUGCUAAAGACAGCAGGACGGUGGCCAUGGAGGUCGGAAUCCGCUCAGGAGUGUGUAACAACUCACCUGCCGAAGCAACUAGCCCUUAAAAUGGGAGGCGCUAUAGCGUCGUGCCUAUACCGGGCCGUCGGUCGGCAGUGCGAUAACGGACUCUAGCCCGCAGAGGGCGCUAAAGAGCCGCUGAGGCCCCGACGAGUAGGGGGGUCGCGACGGUGAGCGUGGAAGGGUUGUGGGCGCGAGCCUGCCCGGAGCCGCCGUCGGUGCAGAUCUUGGUGGUAGUAGCAAAUACUCCA